GAGUUUGAUCCUGGCUCAGGACGAACGCUGGCGGCGCGCCUAACACAUGCAAGUCGAACGAAGCACCUUGAUUUGAUUCUUCGGAUGAAGAUCUUGGUGACUGAGUGGCGGACGGGUGAGUAACGCGUGGGUAACCUGCCUCAUACAGGGGGAUAACAGUUAGAAAUGACUGCUAAUACCGCAUAAGACCACAGCACCGCAUGGUGCAGGGGUAAAAACUCCGGUGGUACAGGAUGGACCCGCGUCUGAUUAGCUGGUUGGUGAGGUAACGGCUCACCAAGGCGACGAUCAGUAGCCGGCUUGAGAGAGUGAACGGCCACAUUGGGACUGAGACACGGCCCAAACUCCUACGGGAGGCAGCAGUGGGGAAUAUUGCACAAUGGGGGAAACCCUGAUGCAGCGACGCCGCGUGAAGGAAGAAGUAUCUCGGUAUGUAAACUUCUAUCAGCAGGGAAGAUAGUGACGGUACCUGACUAAGAAGCCCCGGCUAACUACGUGCCAGCCGCCGCGGUAAUAC
rnacentral:rRNA from 1 species